AGUCCAAUCCUGGCUUAGGAUGAAUGCUGGAAGCAUGCUUAACACAUGCAAGUAAGAUGGGAAACACGAGAAAUGGUGUUUCCAGUGGUGGACUGGUGAGUAACGCAUAAGAACCUGCCCUUGGGAGGGUAACAACAGCUAAAAAUGGUUGCUAAUAACCCGUAGGCUGAGGAGCAAAAGAAGAAAUUUGCCUGAGGAGGGGCUCGCAUCUGAUUAGCUAGUUGGUGAGGCAAUAUCUUACCAAGGAGAUGAUCAGUAGCUUGUCCAAGAGGAUGAUCAGCCACACUGGGACUGAGACACGACCCAGACUCCUACGGGAGGCAGCAGUGGGGAAUUUUCCAUAAUGGGCGAAAUCCUAAUAGAGCAAUGUCGUAUGGAGGUAGAAGUUCCAUGGGUCGUGAACUUCUUUUCCCAGAGAAUAAGCAAUGACGGUAUCUGGGGAAUACGCAUCAGCUAACUCUGUGCCAGAAGCCACGGUAAUACAGAGGAUGUAAGCGUUAUCCAGAAUGAUUGGGCGUAAACUGUCUGUAGGUAUCUUUUUAAGUCCACCGUCAAAUCCCAGGUCUCAACCCUGGACAGGUGGUGGAAACUACCAAGCUGGAGUACAGUAGGGGUAGAGGGAAUUUUCGAUGGAGCGGUGAAAUGCGUAGAGACCGGAAAGAACACCAACGGCGAGACCGACACUGACACUGAGAGACAAAAGCUAGGGGAGAAAAUGGGAUUAGAUACCCUAGUAGUCCUAGACAUAAACAAUAGAUACUAGGAGCUGUGUGUAUCGACCCGCGUAGUGCUGUACCUAACGCGUUAAGUAUCCUUCCUGGGGAGUACGUUCGCAAAAAUGAAACUCAAAGGAAUUGAGGGCGCCCGCACAAGUGGUGGAGCAUGUGGUUUAAUUCGAUGCAAAGCAAAUAACCUUACCAGGGCUUGACAUGCCGCGAAUUCUCUGAAAGAGAGGGGUGCCUUCAGGAACAUGGACACUAGUGGUGCAUGGCUGUUGUCAGCUCGUGGUGUAAGGUAUUGGUUUAAGUCCCCUAAUAAGUGCAACCCUCGUAUUUAGUUUUCAUCGUUGAGUUUGGAACCCUCAACGGAUUGCCAAUGAUAAGCCAAAGAAAGGUGAGAAUGACAUCAAGUCAUCAUGCCCCUUAUGUCCUGGGCGACACAUGCUACAAUGGUCGGGACAAAGGGUCGCUAUCCUAUGAGGGUGAGCUUACCCUAAAAAUCCAUCCUCAGUUCAGAUUAUAGGCUCCAACUCGCCUGCAUAAAGCCAGAAUUGCUAUUAAUUUCCAGUCAUCCAUAUAGUGGUGAAUUCAUUCCCGGGCCUUAUACACACCGCCCGUCACACUAUAGGAGCUGGCCAUGCCCGAACUUGUUACACUAAUUGCAAGAAGGGGGAUGUCGAAGGCAGGGCUUGUGACUGGAGUGAAGUUAUAAAAAUGUAGUCGUACUAGAAGGUGCGGUUG
rnacentral:rRNA from 1 species